rnacentral:rRNA from 1 species
AACGUAGGAGACAAACGUUAUCCGGAGUUACUGGGCGUAAAGGGCGUGCAGGUGGUCUGUUAAGUCUGGCGUGAAAGCUCUCGGCUAAACCGGGAGAGGUCGUUGGAUACUGGCGGACUAGAGGACGGUAGAGGCGUGUGGAAUUCCGGGUGUAGUGGUGAAAUGCGUAGAGAUCCGGAGGAACACCAGUGGCGAAGGCGACACGCUGGGCCGUACCUGACACUAAGACGCGACAGCAUGGGGAGCGAAC